CGUGUUUCUGGUGCAGGUAGCCAGUGAACUGAGCGAAGAUCAGCGCAAGGUUUCUUGUAGGCCUAUGUGGACAGGAGGAGCCGCUGCUGGCCUUUAGGACUGGAAAGUAUGCGGUCUGUGGCCACAAUCCCACCUCUUAGCCUGGGAACGGAAGCAGGGAGUCGCGAGGGAAAACAAGCAGACAAUCAGGUGCCUGAAAGAGGAAUAAACGUGUAAAACAUAUGCUGGAUUAGUCGGCAGUUCUUUCCACUGUGAUGCCGCCUGAUAACCACAGAAAUAGAGCUAGUGCUCCUCCUUAUGCUGGGUGUGACAGUCCUGCCUUUCAGACUGGAAACAAUGUGAAGCAGCACCUUCGUCAUGUAAAGCAGCACCUCUGUGUCCCCUGCCAUAAUGGCUUCUUCUGCUCAACCGCCAGCCUCUCUAGAGUGCAGUAAGGAAGGGGGGGAUACAGUGCGCCUCUGCCUGAGAGGACACUAUGCGCUGGAAUAUGGGGACAGGAAGUGGCUUUCACGGUGUAGGAAUUCUCAGACGGCGGGGGUCUGCUAGGAAAAGUUGACGUUUUUGGAAAGCCAAAGAUGUUAUGAUGUGCCAUGGACAGCAUGC
rnacentral:lncRNA from 1 species